AGGCCACGCCCCCUCAUCUCCCAGCUUCUGGGUCCGAGGCUCCCACCUGCGCUAAGCGCUUGGUACCAGGGAGGGAAUGGGAGGACGCUUGCAGGGUAGGGAGGCGGGGGCUGGAAAUUGGCAGGGUGAGAACUGGGAAACUAGUCUGAGAUGCAGCCCUCCUUGUCCCCCUUCUUCAUUCACCCCCUUGUUGAGGCCCUUGGCUUUUGCAUAAUACACCCUUUUAAAAAAUGUAUUUAAAGAGGCUGGUUCCUAUCCAUCCGACUGGAGGCAUCUCAGUGCAAGAGCAAAGCUAAGUCCUGCACACACACCUCCCCUCCUCGUCCUCCUCCUCCUCCCCCCAGGUUUUCCCGAAUGUAUCUACUCCGGUUACAACUGGACGCGGCCCCUCCCCCACCUGCCUCCCCCCUUCCUCCCCUCGAUCGUGGAGGGAGCAUUCUCUGUGCCUUCCCAAGUCCCCGUGGGGGACCUUCUAUGUUGGAGUGGGGUGAGGGGGGGAGGGUCAUAUAACGAAGGCCAGAAUGAACAAAUUAGAUAAUCAAAAGAAUUAUAGUAAUUGCUUUCACUUUCCCCAGGCCGCUCAGCGGAUUCUCUCCCCCGCCCCUCCCCUGGUUUUUCUGUCUGUCGGGAAUACUCGGUCUUUCCGACCCCCUCCCCUCCCCCAGGUUCCUCCUCUCCUCUCCCCUCGUUCGCGCGUUCCCUCUCUUCCUCCGUUUUCUGGUGUGCUGGAACGUUCAGUGGAAUAUGAUGAAUGAUCACCUGUCACAGCUUGUUUAUUAUAAUGCAGGCAAUCAAUUACACAUCCCCAACGCUGGCCGGCCCGCAGGAAAUUUAUAUGCUCAGCACAAACCAAUGUGAAAAUGGAAUCUCAUUUGCCAAAUGUCUUUCUCCCCGUACAGCACGAUGAUUACAGUCUGUGUUUGUUCCAACAGUCGUGUACAACUGACAGUGCUAUCAUUUACUGCCUGGCUCAGGUCACGUUACUCUAAGGCUUCAUUUAUUGUGUUACGAAGGGCAGCACAGGAAAAGGACAAGGGUGUCUGUCAGGGAUGGCACCGUGUUAAAAAGUGGGCGUGCAAGGGCCGUAUUCCUGGGCCAGCCGCUACAACCUCAGCCCCUGGGCCCUUACCUCCGUAUCCUCUCCCAGCAUCCAGCUACCCAGACUCCAAGGCCCCUGCCGGGAGCCAGCUCUAGGUACCAGGAGCUCCACAGGUCCCAGAAUCGAGGUGGAUCAGAGUUCCAAUUUUGGUUCUGCUACUGUCGAAUUGCGUGCAGCAGGGACUCAAUCUCUUCAUCUGGGAAAUGGGAGUUUUAACAGCCCUUGGCAGGAGUAUUGUGAUCUCUGGGAUGUCAGACGCGUUGAUGAAUGUUGGUUCCCGGGACUUCGGAAAGAGGUCCCGUUGAAAGAGUUGUGAAUUGGAAUUCACACUGUAUAUUAAAAUCUCCCCCAAUCUUCACCUCUGAGACAUGGCUGUCUCAAAACUGUUUUGUUUCCCUUCCUGGUGGAAUUUUGUACUUCUAUGUACUCUGUACCAGCAGGUAGAGUGGCUUUGAACAAAUAAAAUGGCCACCUUGCUCCACUGUUCUUUCUUUGUAAAAAACGGCAUAGCAAUCUUGGCCUUUCUAGCUGUGUGACCUCAGGCUGGUCAAUCCCUCCUCCUCUCUAAGCCUUGGAUUCUUCCCCUGAGAAGUAAAGAAAAUAACUCCUAAACUGCCUCCCUAGGCUUGCCGGCAGGAUCCAAGGUGUCCAGAGAUGAAGAAAAAAAAAAAAAAAAAAGCCAAGUGAACGGGAAAGUGAGGCUGUCACUGCUGAGUGGCAUCCUGUUUUCACCCAGAGUUCUGCUACACAAAAUGUUGACCCAAAUUUGUACCCCCACAACACUUGGUGUCAAGUGGGAGCUCAGAAACUGAGGGGCAGGCAGAUGCUUUUGUGUGUAUUAGGUUGUCUUUUAUUGUAUUGUAUAGUGACUUUUUUUUUUUUUGAGAUGGAGUCUUGCUCUAUUGCCCAGGCUGGAGUGCAGUGGCACGAUCUUGGCUCACUGCAACCUCCACCUCCUGAGUUCAAGCAAUUCUCCUACCUUGGCCUCUCAAGUAGCUGGGAUUACAGGUGCGCACUACCAUGCCUGGCUAAUUUUUGUAUUUUUAGUAAAGACAGGGUUUCACCGUGUUGGCCAGGCUGAUCUCGAACUCUUGACCUCAACUGAUCCACCCGCCUUGGCCUCCCAAAGUACUGGAAUUACAGACUUGAACCACCGUGCCCAGCCUGUACUAUAUAUUUCUUUAUUGUUUGACAUGCAUAUUUGUUUAAUGGCCCUCUGCUCCGCCAGUAUGGAAGCUCCAAAAGGAAAGAUACCAGAUUGAUCUUGAUCACCUCUGCCUCCCCAGCACCUAGCCUUCCUUGGCACAUCGUAAGUGCUCAGUAAAUAUUUGUGGCUUUAAUGGAUGAAUGAAUGAAUGACUACAUGGUCAAACUCCGUACUAGGGCAAUCUCUGUGGUGCAGUGGGUAGGCCCUAGUGAAUGGAUAUUUAAAGGAUAUCUUACUAUUCCUCAUCCCCCAGAGUCAGACUGUGCCACAUGCACCCAACCUUGCCUGGGGUCAUUCAUCCUACAUGUACUCAGAUCGCGUGAACUGGUGAUGGGCCACCCAUGUGCCUGCCUGGAGACUCCUAUUCAUCCCUCAGAUCAACAUCCCCCAAUAAACUCCCAGUCACUCUGACA